rnacentral:piRNA from 1 species
UGGGAACGCAUCUCCACCACAGAGUAGGG